CUGGAAUUCCAUGGCUGAGGUGCAACAGGUCCCACAGCCUCUCCAGCCUCUGUGGGAAGAAGGAUCAUCUGAUGCCUAUGUAAUAGAGUUGCUGAAGGAGUGGAAGCAGCUUUGACAUUAUCAGUGGAACCCACCAGUGCAGACUGCUUCACCAAGGGCACCUGAGGCAGCAGAUCUGAGGAUUAGGGACGUAGGGAGCUGAAGCCUGGCUGGAGAGGUGGUGCGCACAAGAACCCCCACAUUCCCCGACAGGAGCCUGAAAAAGCAAGACGCCAUGUUGGGAGGACACGGAAGCAGUUCUAGGGAGAGGAGCACAUGGCAAGAAGCCA
rnacentral:lncRNA from 1 species